GGGGGGGGGUGUGUGUGUGAAAAUUCCCCCAAAAAAAUUCGUGCAAAGGAAAAUGCCUGGAAAAAAAAUUCGUGCAGCCAUUACGUCAGAGAAAAAAAAUUCGUGCAAGCAAACAGCGAAGUAGAAAUAGUCUUGAAAAAAAAUUCGUGCAGAGGUUAAAUACAUUAAAAAAAUUCCUGCAGAGACACGAGACUGAAAAAAAAAUUCGUGUCGCAAAAAUUUUAUACCCCCCCCCCUCCCGGGAUUUCUA